CUUCGGUGCUGUAUGUGGUUAGAGCAUCCGCCUCGAAUGCGGGAGGUUGCGGGUUUGAACCCAGCCGAGUAUUACCAAAGA